AUUGAACGCUGGCGGCAGGCCUAACACAUGCAAGUCGAGCGCAUGAAGGGAGCUUGCUCCUGGAUUCAGCGGCGGACGGGUGAGUAAUGCCUAGGAAUCUGCCUGGUAGUGGGGGAUAACGUCCGGAAACGGGCGCUAAUACCGCAUACGUCCUGAGGGAGAAAGUGGGGGAUCUUCGGACCUCACGCUAUCAGAUGAGCCUAGGUCGGAUUAGCUUGUUGGUGGGGUAAAGGCCUACCAAGGCGACGAUCCGUAACUGGUCUGAGAGGAUGAUCAGUCACACUGGAACUGAGACACGGUCCAGACUCCUACGGGAGGCAGCAGUGCGGAAUAUUGGACAAUGGGCGAAAGCCUGAUCCAGCCAUGCCGCGUGUGUGAAGAAGGUCUUCGGAUUGUAAAGCACUUUAAGUUGGGAGGAAGGGCAGUAAGUUAAUACCUUGCUGUUUUGACGUUACCAGCAGAAUAAGCACCGGCUAACUUCGUG
rnacentral:rRNA from 1 species